rnacentral:rRNA from 1 species
ACAAGCGGUGGAUGAUGUGGAUUAAUUCGAUGCAACGCGAAAACCUUACCUACCCUUGACAUGUCUGGAACCUUGGUGAGAGCCGAGGGUGCCUUCGGGAGCCAGAACACAGGUGCUGCAUGGCUGUCGUCAGCUCGUGUCGUGAGAUGUUGGGUUAAGUCCCGCAACGAGCGCAACCCUUGUCACUAGUUGCCAUCAUUUAGUUGGGCACUCUAGUGAGACUGCCGGUGACAAACCGGAGGAAGGUGGGGAUGACGUCAAGUCCUCAUGGCCCUUAUGGGUAGGGCUUCACGCGUCAUACAAUGGUCGGUACAGAGGGUUGCCAAGCCGCGAGGUGGAGCCAAUCCCUUAAAGCCGAUCGUAGUCCGGAUCGCAGUCUGCAACUCGACUGCGUGAAGUCGGAAUCGCUAGUAAUCGUGGAUCAGCAUGUCACGGUGAAUACGUUCCCGGGUCUU